rnacentral:rRNA from 1 species
UACGUAGGGGGCGAGCGUUGUCCGGAUUUAUUGGGCGUAAAGAGCGUGUAGGCGGCCAGGUAGGUCUGCUGUGAAAACUCGAGGCUCAACCUCGAGACGUCGGCGGAAACCAUCUGGCUAGAGUCCGGAAGAGGAGAGUGGAAUUCCUGGUGUAGCGGUGAAAUGCGCAGAUAUCAGGAAGAACACGCGUGGCGAAGGCGGCUCUCUGGGACGGUACUGACGCUGAGACGCGAAAGCGUGGGGAGCGAACAGG